rnacentral:rRNA from 1 species
CGCGUAGGCGGCCCUGUAAGUCGGGUGUGAAAGCCCUCGGCUCAACCGAGGAACUGCGCUCGAUACUGCAAGGCUUGAGGACUGGAGGGGAGAGUGGAAUUCCCGGUGGAGCGGUGAAAUGCGUAGAGAUCGGGAAGAACGCCGGCGGCGAAAGCGACUCUCUGGUCAGCCCCUGACGCUGAGGCGCGAAAGCUAGGGGAGCAAACGGGAUUAGAUACCCCGGUAGUCCUAGCCGUAAACGAUGGGUGCUAGGUAGUGGUCGUUCCUAUGCGGUCACUGCUGGAGCAAAUGUCUUAAGCACCCCGCCUGGGAAGUACGGUCGCAAGACUAAA